rnacentral:lncRNA from 1 species
UGAGAAUGGCAGAGAAAGAAUGCCCCUGCCAUACACACUGCAACAAAAUUGUAGGACCUUGAACCUUGGGUUCGUAAUCUCACACCUGAGAAGGUUCCUCCACACUCUUGGAACUGUACACCCAUUAGAAUCCUUAAGUUAAAGCAAACCAAAGAAGUUUCUCCCCAGAAGGAGAUAGCAUCCUUGAUGUGAACAACUUUUCUCAAGAUCACAGAUCAAGACUUCUUUACUAUCAUGAGAUGUUUAUCUUUGAAUAGUUUUCCCUUGCUUAUGCCUCUGUGAACAAUAGAAGUGAAAGGGAGGGGGGUCUGUUGUGUGCACUUAUGGGGUAUACUUUUUAUUUGUGAGGGAUUUUGCAGACAGCCUUAUACAUGGAUAGCCUUCUAUCUCGAUAGAUGAAAGAUGAAGACCCAAGGUAGUAGAGAUGAAGUUUCACCACGUUGGCCAGGAUGGUCUUGAUCUCCCGACUUCGUGAUCCACCCGCCUCAGCCUUCCAAAGUGCUGGGAUUACAAGGGUCAUAAAACCUCCAAAGGAUUUUCUGACUUUCCCCAGAAGCAGGUCAAAAGACCCUCAUGUGAGAGGCGCCCUCCCUAUAACUAGAGGACAGGAGCGUCCUUCUCUCUGA